rnacentral:misc_RNA from 1 species
GAUGAAGAACGUAGCGAAAUGCGAUAAGUAAUGUGAAUUGCAGAAUUCAGUGAAUCAUCGAAUCUUUGAACGCACAUUGCGCCCGCCAGUAUUCUGGCGGGCAUGCCUGUUCGAGCGUCAUUUCAACCAUCAAGCCCCCGGCUUGUGUUGGGGACCUGCGGCUGCCGCAGGCCCUGAAAACCAGUGGCGGGCUCGCUAGUCACUCCGAGCGUAGUAGUUACAUCUCGCUCAGGGCGUGCUGCGGGUUCCGGCCGUUAAAAGCCUUAUUUACCCAAGGUUGACCUCGGAUCAGGUAGGAAGACCCGCUGAACUUAAGCAUAUCAAAAGCGGAGGA